rnacentral:rRNA from 1 species
AACGAACGCUGGCGGCAGGCUUAACACAUGCAAGUCGAACGCAUCCUUCGGGGUGAGUGGCAGACGGGUGAGUAACGCGUGGGAACGUGCCCUUCAGUUCGGGAUAACCCAGGGAAACUUGGGCUAUACCGGAUACGUGCGAGAGCAGAAAGAUUUAUCGCUGAAGGAUCGGCCCGCGUCUGAUUAGCUAGUUGGUGGGGUAAUGGCCCACCAAGGCGACGAUCAGUAGCUGGUCUGAGAGGAUGAUCAGCCACAUGGGGACUGAGACACGGCCCAAACUCCUACGGGAGGCAGCAGUGGGGAAUAUUGGACAAUGGGCGCAAGCCUGAUCCAGCCAUGCCGCGUGAGUGAUGAAGGCCUUAGGGUUGUAAAGCUCUUUCGUCCGGGACGAUAAUGACGGUACCGGAAGAAGAAGCCCCGGCUAACUUCGUGCCAGCCGCCGCCGUAAGAC